rnacentral:misc_RNA from 1 species
GGUCAUUCGACAUUGUGUGCCUUUAUCCAGAAGAUUAUCUACAGAAACAUUUCAUGCCAAACAUACAUGUGAUAAUACAGACUAGAAGGAAAACUAGAUGCAAAAAAAAUAAUCUUAAAGCUACCUGAAGAAUGAUGUUCAUUCAAUCUCAUCACUUGUAAAUCCAACAAAAAGAAUACCAAAUUAACUCCAGCUACUCCUGCACUUGCAGAAUAUAAAACCUUGAAGCGCUGUCACGCAAUUCCAUAUGUACAGUCGUUGCAUCGGAAUCCAAAUAGAGCCAGUAUCCAUCUGUUCACUGAGAGACCUGGGGAAAGCAACUUUAAGGAAAGUAUCAUGGUAUGAACAAACAAGGAGACGUGACUCAUCCACCUCCUUUGAGACGAUUCCCAUCCUCGAUUAGCAUAGAGGUCAGCUCAUCAAGGUUGAAGUAACAGUGAGACAUACACCAGUCUCUAGCCUGUGGAUGAAUUGGGAGUUAUCCUAUGAGAGACUAGCACUGCCUCAUUGCUAGCAGCUUUCAUUGCUGCAAUCUCCUCUAACCGUUUCCAAGUCAUUUCACGUUUUGUCUUGUCCUCUUCUUCAUGAGCCUCAUCUUCUUCAAAUUUGCGCAAACAUUCUUCAAAGAGUUCAGGAUCAACAUCAGAGAAGAUUUUGCGGACAUUCAAUGUCAAGCUUUGUACUGC